ACAAUCUUUCCUCCAGCCACACAGCUGCAAGCUUCUUAGGCUGCUCCUUUAGCCCGAACUAGCCCCUCCGUUUACACAACAAUUUCUGUCCUACUGAUGCCUUGCUUUGCCCAGUUGUGCUUGAUGCUUGAAACCCUCUGUAACAACCCUGAACAGUAGAACUUUCUACUGGAUGAUAUAAAGUGUUAGAAGCACUGAUUUGUUAAGAAAAUUUCCAGAGUCACACAGCUAUAAGUGGCAAAGUUGUACUUCAAACUUGGAAAGUCGACUUCUAGAAUCCAGAAGUUUAAGCCCUAGACCAGCGGUUUUCAAAGCGUGGUUCCCAGACCAGCAGCGUCGGUGUCACCUGGAACUUAUCACAAAGACAAGCUUCUGAGCCAACUUCAGACCUACUCAUUGGAAGCUCAAGGUGGGGUUAUGAUGGGAUCAGAUACCUGAGUGAUAACAAGCUUUUCAGAUGAGUUUAUGCAGGCUUGAGCUUGAGGAUCAUUGAUCUAUACUGUGUUAUCUUCCCAAAUAACAAGAACACUCAAAAGCCUGU
rnacentral:lncRNA from 1 species